UACGGGGGGGGGCAAGCGUUGUUCGGAAUUACUGGGCGUAAAGGGUUCGUAGGUGGCCAAUUAAGUCAGACGUGAAAUCCCUCAGCUCAACUGGGGAACUGCGUCUGAGACUGGAUGGCUUGAGUGCAGGAGAGGAACGCGGAAUUCCAGGUGUAGCGGUGAAAUGCGUAGAUAUCUGGAGGAACACCGGUGGCGAAGGCGGCGUUCUGGACUGCAACUGACACUGAGGAACGAAAGCCAGGGGAGCAAACGGG
rnacentral:rRNA from 1 species